rnacentral:rRNA from 1 species
GUUGAAACACCUGUUCCCAUAUGAUCACCAAAAUUAAAUAACAUCAAGCCUGGUCAGUACCUAGAUGGGUGACUACUUGGGAAUACCAGGUGUUGUAA